UUGAAAUUUCACAAAUUUUCGCUCGAACACUAAAGUAUUUGGGCGGCGACAUUCAGCUAAGUUCCCUCUCAAACAAAAAGCUAAAUACAAGCGUCUCUCAAACAAAAAGUUUCCCUCUCCGUCUCUCAGCUUCGUCCCUGCCGUCAUCGUCGUCUUCCCGUCGCUGUCGCCGUCGUCCCUCGGUCAUCAUCUUCCCGUCUCUGCUGCCGUCGCAUUCCUUCCGUCGUCUUCCCUCUAAAGCAGCGCCUAUGCACGCCUCUGCCGGCCAGCCUUCUCGUCGCCUUUGCUCCGUCGCCUAAGCAGUGUUCUAUUGCUCUUCUCGUCGCCUCUUCCAGCCUCUACCUCCAUCGCUAGUGUCCAUCACCAUUCUACAGGAUACCAUGGUAGUUUGCCACUUUCCUGUUUAACAAAGGUUGAAGAAUAUCAUGAUAGUUUGCCACUUUCUUGUUUUCUUAAAUCAUGGAGCAUGAUCUUCAAAUGCAACUUCAAAUGCAGCAUUGGUGGUAGAAAUUCAACAAAUGUGGGAAGAAAACAAAAUGAUGAAACACAAGUCCUUCCUGAUGAUUAAGUAUUUUAUGUUUUUAUGACUUCUUGUGUAUAUGGCAAUAGUGCAUUGCUUAAAUGUUUAUGAACACAAUACUAUCUUUUUGUUGUAAAUAAUUUUGAUAUUUAAAUAUAUUUUCAUUUUGAAUUUA